AAAUAUAAUAAAGCGCCAGGACUUAAGUGACUCACUUGAGUUGACGAGGAUGGGGAGUAUCGAAUCUUCGGCGGGUGCCCCACGGUAAUGCACUACCGUUAAAGAUUGACAAAACCAAGGAGUAAUUUUUGGCACAAAUCAAUCAGGUGUUAAAA
rnacentral:ncRNA from 1 species